UACGUGGUAAUUUGCGAUAGCAGAAAAUAAUUGUUCUUACAACGCGAACACGUGAAGUGGGAAACUACGAGUUCAUUAUUUAGUCAAGUGUGUUAGCGUUUAUUUUCGAAUUCCAAGUUUGUUUUUCCCUAUCCCAAAAUUUGACGGAUUGAGGAUAACAUAAAAACACGAAAUGCACGUUUGAAAGCUAUCACGGAUUGAGUCCAUAUGUUACUGUUUCGUCACCAACAGAACCUGAAAGAGAAAGAGAAAUAAUUUAACAGAAGUAUAGCAACAGGCGGAUAGUAAAGAAGAAAUAGAGUAAGAGUACCAAACGAAGCUUUUGAUACUCGUAUCAAUACACAUUAUAACUUGGAAACCAGCUUACUCAUUUUCUUCUUGUUGGGCUAUCUCCAACAGAUGUAAAACAAAACAUUAAUUGUGGGUGGCACACAGUGUGCCGGGUCAGCUAGUAGAUAAUGAAUAUUCAUCCGUACAACACAAAUAAAUGUCACUUUUUUGUAUUUCUUG